GACGAACGCUGGCGGCGUGCUUAACACAUGCAAGUCGAGCGGUAAGGCCCUUUCGGGGGUACACGAGCGGCGAACGGGUGAGUAACACGUGGGUGACCUGCCCUUAGCUCUGGGAUAAGCCUGGGAAACUGGGUCUAAUACCGGAUAUGACUCCAUGACGCAUGUUGUGGGGUGGAAAGCCUUGUGCGGCUAGGGAUGGGCCCGCGGCCUAUCAGCUUGUUGGUGGGGUGAUGGCCUACCAAGGCGACGACGGGUGGCCGGCCUGAGAGGGCGACCGGCCACACUGGGACUGAGACACGGCCCAGACUCCUACGGGAGGCAGCAGUGGGGAAUCUUGCGCAAUGGGCGAAAGCCUGACGCAGCGACGCCGCGUGAGGGAUGACGGCCUGG
rnacentral:rRNA from 1 species